rnacentral:rRNA from 1 species
UACAGGGGGGGCAAGCGUUGUUCGGAAUUACUGGGCGUAAAGGGCUCGUAGGUGGCCAACUAAGUCAGACGUGAAAUCCCUCAGCUUAACUGGGGAACUGCGUCUGAUACUGGAUGGCUUGAGUUUGGGAGAGGGAUGCGGAAUUCCCGGUGUAGCGGUGAAAUGCGCAGAGAUCGGGAGGAACACCCGUAGCGAAGGCGGCACUCUGGGCCGGUACUGACGCUGAGGAGCGAAAGCGUGGGGAGCAAACAGG